rnacentral:rRNA from 1 species
UGCCAGCAGCCGCGGUAACACGUAGGAGGCAAGCGUUAUCCGGAUUUACUGGGCGUAAAGCGCGUGCAGGUGGUUCGGUAAGUUGGAUGUGAAAGCUCCUGGCUCAACUGGGAGAGGUCGUUCAAUACUACCGGGCUUGAGAGCAGUAGAGGAAGGUGGAAUUCCCGGUGUAGUGGUGAAAUGCGUAGAUAUCGGGAGGAACACCAGUGGCGAAAGCGGCCUUCUGGACUGUUUCUGACACUCAGACGCGAAAGCUAGGGUAGCAAACGGGAUUAGAGACCCCGGUAGUCCUAGCUGUAAACGAUGUGAACUUGGCGUCAGCGGGUUCAAAGCCGUUGGUGCCGAAGCCAACGCGAUAAGUUCACCGCCUGGGGACUACGGCCGCAAGGUUAAAACUCAAAGGAAUUGACGGGGGCCCGCACA